UAAUACAGAGGCCACGAGCGUUAGUCGGAAUCACUGGGCUUAAAGGGUGCGUAGGCGGGUGUGUAAGCGUUCCGUGAAAUCCCGGAGCUCAACUCCGGAACAGCGGGGCGAACUGCACAUCUUGAGGCAUGUAGGGGCGGGCGGAACAGUAGGUGGAGCGGUGAAAUGCGUAGAUAUCUACUGGAACGCCGAUGGUGAAGACGGCCCGCUGGGCAUGUCCUGACGCUGAGGCACGAAAGCGUGGGGAGCAAACAGGAUUAGAUACCCUGGUAGUCCACGCCGUAAACGAUGCGCACUAGACCGGUGCGGUUUUGACGCCGUAUCGGUCGGAGUAAAAACGAUAAGUGCGCCGCCUGGGGAGUACGGUCGCAAGGCUA
rnacentral:rRNA from 1 species